rnacentral:tRNA from 1 species
AGGAUUAUAGUUAAUUAUAACAUUUGUUUUGCAUUCAAAAAGUAUCCUUCUGGGUUAAUCUUA